AAUGUUUAUAACUGAAAAGUAACAUACUAAUAAAUAAAUUUUAGUAUGAAAUUUAACCUGUUGGAAUUGCAUCUUAGGAUAAAGUCCAAGUUUUCUAUUUGUCGUUAAAAGCUUCUUCAACAUGUCCCAAAAUCCACAUCAGGGUUCAAGCUCUUUCCACAAUCAUAUAUGAUGUCCUCUUGCAAAUUUUGGUUUCUCCAGUCUAAAGUUUUACUUCCACCUGUUUUUCCUACAAAAACAACAUUUUUUUAGUCACCUCGGGGUUAAACCUAUAAAAAGAGUAAAAUAUUUAAUAAAAUUAAAGUUUGAUGCUAUAGUUAUAAAAAGUGGUAAAUUUUUUUUAUAGAUCUGAUAUGGACAAUUUCAAUAUAAAAAUAUAAGUUAGAAGGUGUUGUUGUUUGAUUUACUUUGUCACAACUUCCCUACCUUUCAUAUUAGAUAUCCAUAAAGAUGUCCUAAAGAUCACAUACUUUCUCUUUCUUCCCAUCAACAACCACUUGUAAAAAAUCGUUGAUUAUACUGUCAAAACUCACAAAAAACAACUGAAAUAGAUAUCUUUAAUAAUAAAAACUAUGCAGAUAAAUUAUUGAUGUUGAAGCCCUUAUGUUAUUUACCAAAACUUAAUUAAAUAUAGAAUUUUCAGGCAAAAAGUAAGUGUAAAGAACACAGAAAACACUAAAACCAUAGAUUCAAACUACGUGUUAAUAAAGUAAGAACCAAACCAACAAAAUAUUGGUCCCAAUUGAGAAUUAAGCAGCAAAAGAACAAAAAGAAAAGAACCAAUUUUCUUUCGGCUCCCUUUUUUGUUGCCCAUUAGUCUGAGAAGGAAUAAGAUAAAAAAAUUACACCAGAAACCUUCCUUUUCAAAUGAUGUGUGUCAAUCUCUUCUGCAAAUGGGUACUCUACAGCUCCCUUUCUUCGCUCUGCUACAUCUUUUUACAGCGAAAACAACAAAUUAAGAUUCGAUGUGGAAACAAAGUUGAAUAUACACAACCCAAAUUAUCGUAGGGAAACAAUGGUUUGUCUUCAAGCCUUUAGAUGUCGGACUCAACUCCAAAAACGAAACCGGAAAAGAAAUUAGGGGUAACAGUCGAUUAAAAAUACCAAUCUCAGUCAGCUGAACCAAUUUAAUCUUUCAAUUCUACCGAUUUACAUACGUAAAUUUACAUAUACGUUUACACAAAAAGCUCAAUUUACCGUAGAAGAGUGUGUGUGUGUGUGUGUGUGUGUCUGUGUCUGAAUUAGAAAAAGAUACCUUAACAGCAGAAAUCGAGCUCUCUCUGUAGCUAUCACACAGAACUCCAUCGAUAUCCAACGGAUACAGAUCCCCCAUUUCUCUCUCUUUCUAAUCCAGUCGGUAGGAAACAACUGGAGAGCUUGAACUUGUCGUUGCAGUCCAAUAGAUUCCAACUGAAAGCCUUGAUUUUUGGCCUCGUUUGUUGUCGACGGCGGCAGCAAAAAACGGAAGUUGGAGGAUUAUAAGCGUUAUAGAAGUUGGAAGAUCCUUGAAGAUGAUAACGAAGAUAACACAAAAACUUGAUUUAGUGCUGGAAAGUUAGAGUUUGAGUAGAAAUACCUAUACCAGAAGCAACCUCGUCCAGUAUCGAUGUCAUUAGCCCUGUUUCGUCUCUCUAUCGAAGGUUUUUAUACAGGUAACCCCUAAUUUUCGUUUUCAGAAAUUACCCACAAUCAUAUGUUGAUUAUCGGCUGAGAAGGAGGUUCGGAUUUAAUCUGUGAUUUCAGAGAAGCGCCACCGUUGGUGGUAUCUGGAAAAUUAGGAACAUGUAGAAGUUAACAAUCGGGUGGAGAUAGAGAAAAAAAGGAAAGAGGGACGAUGCUAUAAUUGCAAAGCGGUUGGAGGUAGCGAAUAGUCUUUGAUCGAGAGAGAGAUGAUAAUUUGUAACACUUUGAUUGGAGAACAAAACGGUGGAGAAAGAGAAAGCGGACACGUAUCUGUAAGUAAGACUUGCCGGCC
rnacentral:lncRNA from 1 species